UACAACUCUUAAGAAACAACUAAAUGUGUCCUGGCCGAUACAGGCCUCUGCUACAGUGGCGAUGGUCAUUCCAGGUGUGUGAGUGAUU